ACCAGACUCCUACGGGAGGCAGCAGUGGGGGAUAUUGCACAAUGGAGGGAACUCUGAUGCAGCGACGCCGCGUGAGGGAAGAAGGUUUUCGGAUUGUAAACCUCUGUCUUCGGUGACGAAACGAGACGGUAGCCGAGGAGGAAGCCACGGCUAACUACGUGCCAGCAGCCGCGGUAAUACGUAGGUGGCAAGCGUUGUCCGGAAUUACUGGGUGUAAAGGGAGCGUAGGCGGGAAAGCAAGUCAGAUGUGAAAACCAUGGGCUCAACCUGUGGCCUGCAUUUGAAACUGUUUUUCUUGAGUACUGGAGAGGCAGACGGAAUUCCUAGUGUAGCGGUGAAAUGCGUAGAUAUUAGGAGGAACACCAGUGGCGAAGGCGGUCUGCUGGACAGCAACUGACGCUGAGGCGCGAAAGCGUGGGGAGCAAACAGGAUUAGAUACCCGAGUA
rnacentral:rRNA from 1 species